GACGAACGCUGGCGGCGUGCUUAACACAUGCAAGUCGAACGGAAAGGCCCCUUUGGGGGUACUCGAGUGGCGAACGGGUGAGUAACACGUGAGUAACCUGCCCUUGACUUCGGGAUAACUUCAGGAAACUGGGGCUAAUACCGGAUAGGAAUCCUUGCUGCAUGGUGGGGGUUGGAAAGCUUCGGCGGUUUUGGAUGGACUCGCGGCCUAUCAGCUUGUUGGUGGGGUAGUGGCUUACCAAGGCUUUGACGGGGAGCCGGCCUGAGAGGGCGACCGGCCACAAUGGGACUGGGAUAAGGGCCAGACUCCUACGGGGGGCAACAGUGGGGAAUAUUGGCCAAUGGGCGGGAGCCUGAUGCAGCAACGCCGCGUGCGGGGUGACGGCCUUCGGGUUGUAAACCGCUUUCAGCAGGGGCGGAGCUUGUGGUGACGGUACCUGCAGAAGAAGCACCGGCUAACUACGUG
rnacentral:rRNA from 1 species